UGGUCUCGUCAGGGGAAAAUAAAUUGUUAAAGUUCUAUUGGGACACCCUGUACAGUCGCAGUCUUGUGAUCCCGUAUGAUACACAUUUCAGUCUAACGCCCCGAAGGACGUACAUAUCAGUCUGACGCCCCGAGGGACGUACAUAUCAGUCAAGUGUUCUGCAGAACACAUAUAGUCAAAUGCUCCCGAAGGUGCAAAAUAAAUUGGUGAUCCCGUGGGACACCUACAAGGUAAUCAUCCCAAUACAACCUAACAAUCUAUCCCCUCAUUCCAUUCAACCAUCCUUCAGAUACUUCAAAACAUAGAGUUCUUUCUCUCAACGUCCUAACAGUCAACUUAUCUCACUUAGGUCAUAUGUCUGUCAAUAACAUACUAAUACAUCAGUCAAUCAAACUAUACAGUCAAUACACCCCUCAGAUCACCAGCACACAGUCAUACUUUAGCGUAACGACACCCAAUCUAAACGACAAUCACAAGAUCGCAUCUGCAUCUCAUACAAGCAUAAUCUACAAUUUUCGUCCUGUCCACAUCCACACACAUAUAUAUAUAUUCCAUGACAAUCACAAUAUGCAUUCCACAUUAAGUCUACUUCAAUUCCUAUGCAUAUGUAUAUAUAUUUUCAGUCAAUCCACAGUGUACAUUCAGCACCGAAUCUACACCCAUACGUGUGUAAACAUAAGUAUCAUCUCAACAUCUUUACUCAGUCAAAGAUAAUCAUUCAGACAUGCAAUUCACAAUCAUAAGUGAGUCCAGUAGAAAAUCCCUUACCUUCAAAUUUGUUAAGCUCCUUAACCACGUUAAGUCUAUGAAGAACGAACCUAAACAUUAAGACAAUUUCUCAAUAAUUCCCUUCAACGCAUCAGUCAUUUAAUUUCAACCCAAUGUGAAUCUUUUUGCAACUUACCCAAAUCUUCACGAAAGAAAUCGAGCAGUGGCUUUGCGAAGAGAUGACGUGCGACGGAGAGACCGUAUACAGAUGGCCGGAGAGUCGCGCGGCAGUGCAGACGACGGAGGAGAAGGAAUCGGCGGCGGCUGGGCUGAAAACAGAGGAGAAAGGAGAGGGGAGACAGCGGCGGUUACAGGUUCACGCGGCGGCCUUGCUUCGCGAACAGAGAUGGCGGCCGACGGUUGCAGCGACGGAAGAGCAACGGCGCCGCAGAUCUGGACUGGCAGCGGCGCAGUCUUGCUUCGCGGUGGGCUGCGGACGGAAGAAGAAAAUGGAAAGAAAGGAUCGGCGGCUAGCUGCGGACGGGAAGAAGAAGAUAGAGGUGUGGUUGCGGCUGGGCUGCGGUUGGCUGCGGCGGGACGGGAAGAAGAAGAUAGAGGCGGCGGCGUGGAGCGGAGAAGAAAAGAGGAAGAAAAAGAAGAAAGAAAAGAGAAAGGAAAAGAGAAGAGAACGGGGGGGGGGCUGUGCAGCGCGCGAGAGAGAGAGAGAGAGAAAUUUCUUUCUUUUCUUUUUUUAUUUAUUUAUAAUUAAAUAAAUAAAUAUAUAUAUAUAUAUAUAUAUAAAAUAAAAACAAAAUAUAUAUAUAUAUAUAUACCUUUGGGCAUUACAUUCUUCCCUCCUUAAGAAACUUUCGUCCUCGAAAGUUUUAAUCCUGAAAUAACUCUGGAUAACGAGUCCUCAUCUCUUCCUCUCGCUCCCAUGUCGCCUCUUCAAUUCGAUGAUUCCGCCACAAAACCUUUACUAAUGGAAUGCUUCUAUUACGAAGCAUCUUUACCUCUCUAGCCAGAAUCUCCACAGGUUGUUCUACAUAGCUCAAAUGCUCAUCAAUCUCCAAGGGUUCAUAGUCCACUACAUGAGACGUAUCGGCCACAUACUUCCUCAACAUCGAAACAUGAAAACAUUAUGAACUGCAGAGAGAGAUGGUGGUAAUGCCAAGCGAUACGCCACAACACCAACCCUCUCUAAGAUCUCAAAUGGUCCAACAAAACGAGGACUUAACUUUCCUUUCUUCUCAAAACGCAUAACACCCUUCAUAGGUGCUACCUUCAAGAAUACCUUUUCUCCCACAUCGAACUUAAGGUCUUUUCGCCGUACAUCGCAUAACUCUUCUGUCUACUCUGCGCUGUUUGCAUACGUGCUCUAAUCUUUUGAAUAGCCUCAUUAGUAGACCGAACUAAUUCAGGUCCCAUCAAUCUAUGUUCACCAACCUCACUCCAACAAACAGGGGUUCUACAACAUUUGCCAUACAAAGCCUCAAAUGGUGCCAUACCGAUGGUAGCCUGGAAACUGUUGUUAUAAGCAAACUCCAUCAAAUGUAGAUGAGAGUCCCAACUACCUGGAAACUCUAUAACACAAGCUCGUAGCAUAUCCUCUAAAACUUGGUUCAAACGUUCAGUUUGACCAUCAGUCUGUGGAUGAAAGGCUGUACUGAAAUCCAAUCUCGUACCCAUAGCAGUCUGAAGUCCCUUCCAAAACUUGGAAGUAAACCGUGCAUCCCUAUCAGAAACAAUCGAUACAGGCACUCCAUGCAGUCUCACAAUCUCAGUUAAAUACAACUCUGCCCACUUACUAGCAGUAUAAGUGGAUUUUCCUGGUACAAAAUGUGCCGAUUUCGUAAGCCUGUCUAUGACAACCAGAAUCACUGUGAAACCCUUCAGGGUCUUAGGCAGCCCUGAAAUAAAAUCCAUCGACACAUUCUCCCACUUCCACUCUGGCACACUUAAAGGUUGUAAAAACCUGCUGGUUUCUGUCUAGGUGCCUUAACUUGCUGACAUACUAGACACUUACUAACAAAUUCCGCCACUUCUUUUCAUAUUCCGCCACCAAUAAAAUCGUUUUAGAUCCUGAUACAUUUUCGUGCUACCAGGAUGCAUGGAAAAUGGGGAAUUAUGGGCUUCAUCUAGUAAGUCAAUCUUAACUGUACUGUUCGCUGGCACACAUAAACGUCUCUCAAACAUCAACCCACCAUCAGAGGAUAUGGAGAACUCAUCAGUCUGCCCUGUUUCAACAAGGCGACGUCUCUCCAUCAAAUAAGGAUCAUUACUCUGAGCAUCAACAAUCUUGUGCCUCAGAGUCGGUUGCACCGUUAAUUGAGCUAGCUGUGAGGUGACUCUCCCCACAGACACUGCAAUCUCAGCUCUCUCCAAGUCUCGAUGCAAUGGUACCUGUCUAGUAAUGAGUGCUGCCGAAUGUGAUACUUUUCUACUAAGAGCAUCAGCCACCACAUUCGCCUUACCAGGAUGGUAUAAUAUCUCACAGUCAUAAUCUUUUACCAACUCGAGCCACCUUCGCUGUCUCAUAUUCAACUCCUUCUGAGUGAAGAAGUACUUUAGGCUCUUAUGGUCAGUAAAGAUUUGUAUCUUUUCACCGUACAAGUAAUGUCUCCAUAUCUUCAAUGCAAAAACCACUGCUGCCAACUCCAAAUCAUGUGUGGGGUAGUUCUGCUCGUGACUCUUCAACUGACGAGAGGCAUAAGCAACCACCUUACCUUUCUGCAUCAAAACACAACCCAGUCCUUUCUUGGAAGCAUCACUGUAAAUCACAAAACUUCCAGAUCCAUCUGGUACAGUAAGGACCGGUGCAGUAACUAACCUUUGCUUAAGGUUCUGAAAACUAUCCUCACAAGCUGGACUCCAAACAAACGGAGUUCCCUUCCUUGUCAACUGAGUCAAAGGAGUAGCCAAACGUGAAAAAUCCUCCACAAACCUCCGGUAGUACCCUGCUAAACCCAGAAAACUACGAACCUCACAACUGUGGAGGGUCGAGACCAACUGGUAACCGCUUCUAUCUUUGCAGGGUCUACUGAAACUCCCUCACUGGAAACCACAUGACCAAGAAAAGCCACCUGCUUCAACCAAAAUUCGCACUUCGAGAACUUAGCAUACAGUUUAUUGCUCGAAGAGUCUCUAAUACCUUAUGUAAUGUUCCUCAUGUUCGACUUCAGUCUUGGAAUAAACCAAAAUAUCAUCAAUGAAGACUAUCACAAAAGUGUCCAAGAAAUCCUUAAACACCCUGUUCAUCAAAUCCAUAAAUACAGCAGGUGCAUUAGUCAAACCAAAAGACAUCACUAUGAAUUCAUAAUGUCCAUACCUCGAACGAAAGCAGUCUUAGGAAUAUCACGGUCUCUAAUCCUCAACUGGUGAUAACCUGACCGUAAGUCAAUCUUAGAGAACACCGUGGCUCCCUGUAACUGAUCGAACAAAUCAUCGAUUCUGGGUAAAGGAUACCUGUUCUUGACUGUUACUUUAUUCAACUCUCUAUAGUCAAUGCAAAGACGCAUCGACCCAUCCUUCUUCUUCACAAACAAUACUGGUGCACCCCAAGGUGACACACUAGGUCGAAUAAAGCCUUUGUCAAGCAAUUCCUGUAACUGUACCUUCAGUUCUUUCAACUCAGCAGGAGCCAUCCUAUAAGGGGCUCUAGAAAUAGGAGUAGUGUUUGGCUCCAACUCAAUGCAAAAUCAACCUCUCUAUGUGGCGGCAGUCCUGGAAGAUCUUUUGGAAAUACAUCUGGGUUUCUUUACCACAGGUUUGAAGUUAAAGAAGUCUCACCUUCCCUAGUAUCCACCACACUUGCCAAAAUACUCCAAGUACCCUGGCUGAGUAGUUUACUAGCUUUCAUAGCUGAGAUUACUUUAGGCAGUACUACUGUUCCUACUCCCUUGAAUUUAAAGCUAGAUGCAGUAGGGGGACUAAACACAACUUCCUUACGAGAACAAUCAAUACUAGCAUGAUUAGUAGCUAGCCAAUCCAUCUAAAAUUACAUCAAAGUCACGCAUAUCUAAUACCAACAAGGUUACGUCCAGUACACGACCAGCUAUUUCAAUUUCACAUGCUUUAAUCUUUUCCUUAGACAACAUAAUUUCUCCAGACGGUGUAGACACUGACAAAACAUAGUCUAAGGGUUCCACUUCUAAGCAUGCAUGCGUCAAAAAAGCGAUGAAAUAAAUGAAUGAGAAGAUCCCGAGUCAAACAAGGUCAAGGCAAAUGCCCAAUACUGGUAACGUACCUGUCACUACUGUGCCGGCCUUCUCUGCCUCUGAUCUAUUAGUGGCAAAGAUUGUACCCCGCUGUGGAGGUCUCUCUCCUGACUGCUCGAUCCAGCCCAGUAGAUCUCAAGGACACCUAUCAGCCAUGUGUCCCUCUUGCUUGCACUUAUAACAGACUCUCGUUCCCAUCAAACAACGACCCAGGUGGCGUUUCCCACACGUAUCAUACUGGCCUCUCUUGAGUAGUGUCUCCUGCACCGCCAGAACUCUGCUGGAAACUGCGAAAAGAAUCACCUGGUCUCAUGUUCCUCUGAGGAACUCCUACAGUUCUCUGCUCUACUUUUCUCUUUUGACCCGACGACGAUCCCUUAUUAAAGCUCCUUGGCUGUCUUUCAUCCUUCCCAAUACUCAUAUCCACUGCCAGACGCAGUGCUUCAGCUUGGGUAGUGGGCUUUAGUGCUCGCACAAAACCCCUAAUUUCAUCUCUCAAUCCCUUGACGAACCUAUCAGCUCUAGCCUGCUCAUUACUAACAAGCUCAGGGCAAAACGUGACAGCAUAUCAAACUCCUGGUCGUACUCCUCGACUGUCAUAUAUCCUUGCUUCAACUCCAAGAAUUCCUGGCUUUUGGCGUCUCUAAGGUUAGCCGAGAAAAACUUGGUAUAGAAGCAGUCCUUAAACUGAUCCCAGGUAAUCUGCCUCACAUCUCCACCUAGCAUGCGCAUGUCCUCCACCAGAUAAUGCCUCUGUCCCUCAGUAGAAAAGCAGCACACUGAACUCUAUGCUCCUCAGGACAUCUCAUGUAAUUAAAUAUGGUUUCCACAGAGGACAACCACAUUUCAGCUUUGUAGGAUCCUCCAGUGACCCAUCAAACGUCUGAGGUCAUACUUCCGAAAGUCCCUCAAAUGUUUCGCUCAGCAGAAAGUUGGUUAGGUAAUUCUUGUGCAGGAGGGGCUGCUGGUGCAGGGGGAACUACAGGUGCAGGUGGGACUGCAGGUGCCUGCUGGUUUUGAGCUAUGCUGUCAUAAGUUCUGUAAACCUCUGCUCCAUGUGAGCAGACAGUGCAUCAAACUCGACGUGAGUCACGGGUGCAGCAGGAAUUCGAUGUUCAGCUUGACCCUCAGUAGGCUGAUUACGACCUACUCCUCUACCUCGGCCUCCUGCUCCUCUACCUCGGCCUCUACGACCUCCUCUACGUACUUCCUUUAAUUUCCUAUUAUCCACCAACAACACUCUUUAACAAAAUCUUAAUCAUAACAUAAGCAAGUCUUUAUCGUCAUGCAAUCUAGUUUAAUUUAGGCAAGGUCAUAUACAUAAACCAUACAUAUAAGCAUAAAGCAUACCUGACGAGAGACGAAGGGUCGCGUUUGCCAUAGGAACACAAAAACAUAGACUUACAUCGUAAGUCAGUCUACAGAACCUAAACUUAGGCUCUGAUACCAACUGUAACGACCCAACUUUUCUAAGUAAGUCGAGAUCGUUAGUUUUUAACAAAUAAAAGACUCUGAUUAAUAUAAAACAAAACGUAAGCAAUUUAAAAAAAAAACAUCUUCAAGUCAGGCCUGAUUUUUAAACAUUCAAGAAAGUAUAAAAUAAUACUGUUUACAACAAACGUUUGUAAACUAAAUUUCAAAUCAAUCUUAAAUAAGCGGAAGCAAUUACACGUUUCCUAUGGCAUCACGCUUCCUUCCUGCCCCUCGCCGGUUUGCCGCCUUUAUUACCUUUGCCUGAAAAUCAAACAUAAGAAGGGUGAGUAUUUUAAAUACUCAGUAAGAGACCCUCUACUGGUCUCGUCAGGGGAAAAUAAAUUGUUAAAGUUCUAUUGGGACACCCUGUACAGUCGCAGUCUUGUGAUCCCGUAUGAUACACAUUUCAGUCUAACGCCCGAAGGACGUACAUAUCAGUCUGACGCCCCGAGGGACGUACAUAUCAGUCAAGUGUUCUGCAGAACACAUAUCAGUCAAAUGCUCCGAAGGUGCAAAAUAAAUUGGUGAUCCCGUGGGACACCUACAAGGUAAUCAUCCCAAUACAACCUAACAAUCUAUCCCCUCAUUCCAUUCAACCAUCCUUCAGAUACUUCAAAACAUAGAGUUCUUUCUCUCAACGUCCUAACAGUCAACUUAUCUCACUUAGGUCAUAUGUCUGUCAAUAACAUACUAAUACAUCAGUCAAUCAAACUAUACAGUCAAUACACCCCUCAGAUCACCAGCACACAGUCAUACUUUAGCGUAACGACACCCAAUCUAAACGACAAUCACAAGAUCGCAUCUGCAUCUCAUACAAGCAUAAUCUACAAUUUUCGUCCUGUCCACAUCCACACACAUAUAUAUAUAUUCCAUGACAAUCACAAUAUGCAUUCCACAUUAAGUCUACUUCAAUUCCUAUGCAUAUGUAUAUAUAUUUUCAGUCAAUCCACAGUGUACAUUCAGCACCGAAUCUACACCCAUACGUGUGUAAACAUAAGUAUCAUCUCAACAUCUUUACUCAGUCAAAGAUAAUCAUUCAGACAUGCAAUUCACAAUCAUAAGUGAGUCCAGUAGAAAAUCCCUUACCUUCAAAUUUGUUAAGCUCCUUAACCACGUUGAAGUCUAUGAAGAACGAACCUAAACAUUAAGACAAUUUCUCAAUAAUUCCCUUCAACGCAUCAGUCAUUUAAUUCAACCCAAUGUGAAUCUUUUUGCAACUUACCCAAAUCUUCACGAAAGAAAUCGAGCAGUGGCUUUGCGAAGAGAUGACGUGCGACGGAGAGACCGUAUACAGAUGGCCGGAGAGUCGCGCGGCAGUGCAGACGACGGAGGAGAAGGAAUCGGCGGCGGCUGGGCUGAAAACAGAGGAGAAAGGAGAGGGGAGACAGCCGGCGGUUACAGGUUCACGCGGCGGCCUUGCUUCGCGAACAGAGAUGGCGGCCGACGGUUGCAGCGACGGAAGAGCAACGGCGCCGCAGAUCUGGACUGGCAGCGGCGCAGUCUUGCUUCGCGGUGGGCUGCGGACGGAAGAAGAAAAUGGAAAGAAAGGAUCGGCGGCUAGCUGCGGGACGGGAAGAAGAAGAUAGAGGUGUGGUUGCGGCUGGGCUGCGGUUGGCUGCGGCGGGACGGGAAGAAGAAGAUAGAGGCGGCGGCCGUGGAGCGGAGAAGAAAAGAGGAAGAAAAAGAAGAAAGAAAAGAGAAAGGAAAAGAGAAGAGAACGGGGGGGGCUGUGCAGCGCGCGAGAGAGAGAGAGAGAGAAUUUCUUUUUCUUUUCUUUUUUUUUUAUUUAAAUUAAAUAUAUAAUAAAUAAAUAUUAUAUAUAUAUAUAUAUAUAAAAUAAAAACAAAAUAUAUAUAUAUAUAUAUACCUUUGGGGCAUUACACACUAUAUAUAAAAUUUUAAGACUCACAAAUUCACAUAACAAUAAUUUAAAUAUUCAACAAUCAAAUAAGUUUGAAUGCAAGUAUGCAAACAACAAAAUUAAAGAAAAUAUUAAAAAUGUAUUCUUAUAUUUGAAAAGUAAUCUUAACAUAUAAAAGAUAAACACUAUCACAAUAUUUGUCAAAAAGAAUGUGAUCCAACGAAGAAAAUAAAUAUCCUAAUUAAAUUUGUCAUAUAAAACAAUUAUAUUCGAAGAUACUAAUUCAGAAAGCAUUUAAAUCAAAUCCUUCAAGUAUAAAAAUUAUAGUUAAAGACAUGAAAUGACAUGAAAUACUUGAUUUUCAAUAUUUUCCUAUCUUGAAUCACUCAAAAUAAGGUUAUUUGAGUUUCUCAAAUAUAAAUUUUAUUCCUCUAACAAUAUAUAGAUAUUUUAUCCACAAUCCAUGAAAUGCUUAUCCUCGACAAGAAAAGGUUGUGAUGAAGAUCUAUGCACAUAUACCAUAUGUAAUAAGCUAAUUAAAAGUCUAAAUUUUUAGAGGAUGGAGCUUGUAAUCUAACAAGUAUAUAUGUCUAAACAAAUUCAAUAUGAUUAAGAAACUUGGAGACAAACAAUGGUCUAAUUCACUUAAAUACAAAGUAACAUUUCUAAAAGAUUUUCUUUAAAAACUAACAAAUGUCUUUUAAGCCACAACUCAAAAUUUAAUGCUCAUAUAAAAGGUUGUAUGAGUUUUACAAUGUUAUUAGAUCAAAAGUAAAAUAUAAAUAUAUUUUAACAAUCAAUUUGUAAACACAUAACUUUACAUGUAUGAUUAAAGUAGAGUACCCACAUUCUUUGAACUUUAUGUUUAAAUUCUAGAAAGAUGAAUGAUGGUGGUGAGAAGAUAAAUGAUGAAUACACCAAAUAUACAUAAGCAAGGUCACCAAAAUUAAAACACUUACCGUACUUGAAUGAAAUUCUAAAUACCUCAAAACCAUAGAGAAGAUUCCAGUGGAUCUUUUCAAAGCCAAUUUUUACACAAUCUCCAAAGUGGCGAAACUCGUGUUGAUAACGUGUUAUAAAACAAGUAUAAAGAGGCUAAAUAAGAACCUGAAACAACACACAGAAGAGAAUGAAGAAGAGAGGAAGUAGAGAACAAAUUAUCUCAAUUGUGGUGUGUUUUACAAAUGCACCACAUACAGAUUUAUAAGACAUCCCAUGGUAUGAGUUACAUAUGAAAUUCAAUGGUAUGAAUGAUACAACAAGAAAAAAAUGGAGAGUUAUAGAAAGAUGGGUAACUAGGUUAUGGAUAUCUACAUAAUUAUAUUUUCAAUAUUAUGUAUAUAGAUUAUUUAUUUAUUUUUUAAAAAUAUAUAUAACUGCCAUAAAAAUAUAAUUUUUUAAAAUAAAAAGAAUAAAAAUAUCGAUAAAUAUAAGUUGUGCUGAAUUUAUGGAAUUUAAUCUAAAAUAUAAUUUCAAAUUGUUACUAAAAAUAAUAUUAUGCAUUAUUUAAAUAUAAUUACCGAUAUUGUUUAUAAAUGAUUUAAAAUAUAAUCAAUUAAAAAUCUUGUAGAUAUAAUUUUCAUUAUUAGAGUGGUUGUUGCAAUUUUGUUGAGUAACAAAAUUUUAAAUUUAAUUAGGAUUUACUAAAAGUUAAAGAUAGUUUGUAAAAUACUCUCUUUUUGAAAUCUGCAAUUACUUACCUUAGGUUGGAGCCAAUAAAAUACAUGGUAGUGUGAAUCUAUGAAUUAUCCUAUAACUAGAGAUAGAUUCGAAAUUACUAUAAUCAAAUAAAUGGGCAUACCUAACUUUUGCAAUUUUUCUUAUUUCUGUCACCUUUUGUCACUAUUUACAAUUUUACCCUUUCUACCGUUAUCUCUUUUUAUUCAUGCAUUUCUUUGUAUAAUUCACUAUAAUCCUUCUAUUUAAAGAAGUGACUUAUACAGGUGUGAAGGUGGUGAACAUUUUUAAAAGAAAUUAAAGAAGGAUUUAUACGGGUGUGAAGGUGGUGAACAUUUUUAAAAGAAAUUAUGACUUAGGACACUAAAUUGUGAUGGUGAAUAUUUAUCUUAAAUUUUAGGAUAUUUAACUUUUUUUUUUAUUAUUAUUAUUAGUAUUAUCAUCAUCAUUAUAAUAAUAUGAUAUGCUUUAAUUGGAUUAGAGGUAAGAGAUUUUAAAGUCAAACCUUUUGAUGGAUGAUAGAAGGUGAGUGUUUAUGUUAUGUUUUAGGGUUUAGGGGCUUCGUUUGGUAGUCUUGGUAUUUGUUCAAAACCCAUAAGAAUUUAGUAAGAAGUCAUUUUAUUUACACUUUACCCGUACAUUCAUUUUUACAACCCUUUAGAAGUUGAGUUGGUUUCUAAAGGGUUCGAUUUAAAUACGGGGUUAUUAACUAUUAUAGCCUAAAUGUGAGUGUUUUAUUGCAAGUUGGACCUAAUGUUGACAAAUUUUUAAUUAAAUAUUCUAAUAUGCUUUAAUUUUACACAAAUGUAGAAUCCAAAAGACCAAACUACCAAUCUUUAUUAUUAAUAAUAUAUUUUAAAAAAUUAAUAGAAAAAUCAAAUAAGGAAAGUGGACCACACGUUAUUAAAACUUGCAUUUAUUAGAUAUCAUAUGUAAAUAUUGUAUGUGAUUAAUUUUAUUAUGAUAAUAUUAUAAUCAAAAUUACCCCUUUAUUAUUUUUCUUUUGGUGAUUUUGUUAAAAAACUCUUCCCUCCAUACGAUCUCUCUCUCAGUCCAUUCUUUCUUAUUUUGUUCAUCUCUUUCAAAUGUUUUCGGUGAGUGUAUAUUUGUUUCAUAUUAUUAAUUAUAUGUAUGAAAUUGUGAAAUAUAGUAUAUCGGUACAAAUUUUCGAUAAAUUUUUUCAAUAAAAAAAUUUACAAUGAAUGGAGUAUAUUCCAAGAAAUUUAUCGAUCUAGAAGUUUUAAUCUAGAUCAUUAUUUUGUAUUAUAGGAUAAAUAAACUUGGAAUUAAGUUUUAAUCCAUUGACCAUUGUUAAUAAAGUGUUAUUAUUGUAAUAAUUGUUAUUGAUUAUAUUAUUAGUUUUGUCUUAAUAACUCAAAUCUAAUAAACUAACAUCCUAAACUGUUUAAUAAGUAUUGAAUAGUAUGUAGAGACAUACAAGGAUCAAUGUUCGAGAUCAGCUUAAAGGGUCUAUAGUAUACGGAUAAGACUGGGUACCUUUAUCCUGGUAACAUUAUGAAUACGACUCACUUUGUAUUUGAUACAAAUACAAUGAUCCAAUGUGUUCAUGUAGUUGACAUGCGAGUGAAGGUAUCCUAUGCAAUGAGAUUGCAAUAGACUAGACUGUGAAAUAGUAACCACUUGGUGUUACUACAUUAACUAGUUAGGUUUCUAUUUCACUAGGAUGACCUAGAUAACUUAGUCUUAAUCUUGAGUGUAUUAUGAACUCAAUGAUCUUGGAUGAAUUUGACUUCAAAUACAAACUUGGAUUCCACAACCCAAACCAAAAUAAAAUAAUAUAUCAAGUUAAGAUGGAUUCACAUAGCAACAUUUUAUCAAAUGGUUGCAAUGUUUCAAAUAAGCAACAAUUAAAAUUCACAUAUCGAUUUGGCAUCUAUAAAUAUACAAACUAAAAAGUACCUAAAUGUCAAUUAUUUACCCAAUAAGGCUAACUAAGUAACCAACGUCUAAUAUGUUUUGCAAUGAAAAGGGUUGCCAUAUUGUUAAUUUGGCCAUAUUGUGAAGGCAACCUCUUAGAUGUGUUUGUGAGAAAGGAAAGAAAUACCAAAAUAAGUAUGGACUAAGAUAGUAUCAAAUAAAGUUAAAGUUGAAUUUUAAAGCUCUAUUUUUUUCAAGAUUGAGAAAUUUCAGCUAAAGAGGAAAACACUAAGGACAACCAAGCAAAAAAGUCUAACAAAUAUCAAAAGAGAACAUGCAGGAAAGAAAGAAUGUAAAUAAGGUUUUAUCCGCACCAAGCAAAAAAGUCUAACAAGUAUCAAAAGCUUUAUAAGUUUACUAGAAUUCAAAGCUCUAAACUCUAAAGAAUGUAAAUUUCUUUGAAGAAAUUUGUGUAUAAAGGUCACACAGUUGAAAAUUCAAUACCUUUUCAAGAAUGUUGUUGAGAAGAUUAUUGUGAUGAAUCUUUGAAUCCAAAUUAUGGAGACAAGAUAAAUAAAUGAGUUCUGAUUCUAACUGACUGAAUGAGAGUUAAGAAAAUAAGAACAUUGGAGUUGAAUUAUCAACAUUUAUUUUAAUCAAACUUACGAUAGCAAACCAAAUUAUAGAGAGAGAUCAAAUGCUAGGAUAAAGGAAUAGUCUUACAUUUGGUGAGUUCCCAAAUGUUGUGGUAGUCACGAGAGUUAUUCCACUCGAAUUGUCUUAGACAAGAGGCUUCCAUUCAGCAAGUACUGGUGAGAAUUAAAGUGGAAUGACAAACUUAAAAACACCUGAUCUUUAACAAACUUUUCCGACUUUUUGCAAUUAUUUUUUAACACAAGAUAUCAAAACACACUUAAAAACCAUAACAACCAAUUACCAUAAAACGCUGUCCAAUAACAAUAAUUGGGUCAACCCAAACAUCAUUAAAUUCUUGGGAAAGGUUGUGGACUAGACCUUCACCAUCUUGCCCCUAAAGCAAGUUAAAGCUUAAGGAAAGAACACAGUAGAAACAAAAAUCAUAAACUCAUCAGUUAGAUAGUUUUGGUGGUCAAAACCUCAAGGUCUCACUUCUUCCAUUUUAUAUUACCAAAUUUGAAAAUGAUUUUUAAUAUAUGAUCAAUCCUUGAAACAUGUUGGUGUACAAGUGUGAAUGAAACUAAAUCAAGUUUGUGUUUUAUGUUAUUGUUUUUGACAUUAUAUUUAUGUGCUAUGCAAUCCAUGAGAAUAUAUUUAUGUGCUAUGCAAUCCAGAAGGGGGAAUGCAACUAUACCCAAUUCAUAAUUGUAUUUGGAACACUAAUGAUUUUAGCACAAAUUCCAUCUUUCCAUUCUCUAAGACAUAUAAACCUUAUCUCCCUCACUCUAUACCUUGGCUAUAGUGCUCUUGCAACAUAUUAAAAUUCUCGUAAUUAAAAAUUCAUACACAAUUUAAAUUAAAUUAAACAUCAAGACCCUGACGAAGAUGAAUCUCUGUUCAUUUUUCUUUUUAUUAACAAACAAAAGUUUUUAGGUCCACUUCUUUCAACAACCUCCUCAAGGAUCCUUAAUUAUCUCUAUCCAAGUUCAUAACCACUCUAGUCAUGCAAAGAUUAAGGUUCAUGGCCAAUCAACAAUUAAUCUGUGAUUAAGAUAUUAUGAACGUUAUUCACAUAAAAACAUGAAAAGAUUAAGAGCAAAUAAUCAGAUGCAUUACAAAGAAUAAUUCAUAAACUUUGUCUACAUCUAUCCCUAGGUUUAAGAGUUUAGCUACCCCAUACUUCACAAUCUAAAACACAAAACUCAAUAUAAUACCCAUAACAAAAAUUCAAGGAGAAGAAAAGCUAGUGAUUCAUAUUAUUAUAAUACUGUGUAUAACAGUAUGUGUUUUUUAAUAUUCUCUGUUUCCAGCUCCAGUGUACCAAAAUAUUAUCACAAACUCCACAAUCCUUCUCUUUCCAAUCCCUAAACUAACCAAUGAAUCAUAUUCGCACGCUUGGUAGCCUUGUUCAAAAUAUUAUAUAUUACAAUUAUAAUAACUUGUAUCCCCCCUUUUCAAGCCUAAAAUGCAAAACCUUUCUUCCAUUCUCUAAGGCAUAUUUCCUCUUCUUUAAUUUUGCAUUCCAAUUUUAAAUUACAAAUUACAAAUUUUAAUCACAAAGGAAAAAAGGAAAAUUAUUACCUUUAGAAAGGGAAGAAAAUGAAUGAGUAACCAUGAAGGAUUUGGAAACGAAUAGAGGUUUAGCGAAAGUGGAAUGCGACAGAAGGAUGGUGAACGUGUUUACUCGUUUUCGAACAGAGAAUGUGUUUACGCAUUCCGAACGGUGAACAGACGGACGCAAAUCAACGAAGGUGAAGGGAACGCAAAGCAGACGGACCGUGACGGACGAUGAACGCAAAUGAAUGAAGGUGAUGUUGGAAUUUUUUGUCCUAAAACUCGUAGUUUGUAAAUCAUAUUCUGUUCAAUAAAGUUGUUAUUGAGAAAUUAAAUAUUAUAAUCUUAAAUCCAAUAAAUCAAGUUCCAAGGCUAUUUUUUGAAUAAACUUGAACUUUAUGUGUAAACAUAAACGUGGAUCAAGUUCGAGUAUAUAGCCUAAAUAGUCUAUAGUAUAUGAAAUAAAGGUUGGGCGCCUUAUUUUGAGAAACUAUGGAUGCGGCCCACUUUGUAGUACAAACGAGGUGAUCCUAAUCGUUCAUGUAGAGACAUGAAAGUGGGGGCAUCCUAUGUAAAAUGUUUACAUAAGACUGAACCAUGAAUUAGUCAUUUUUACGUUAUAACACCGUUUACUGUUUAAAACUGACUAUCUCAAUUAUUGAUGACCUAGGUAACUUAGUCUUAAUCCUGAGUUAACUAUGAACUCCUGUUCACACGAGAUUAUCCUUAGAUCUGCAUAGGUGAGGGCAGCUCAUCAGCGUUGGCCCAAUAAGCCUCCCAUUUCAGGGGUAAGAUCGGGUGGAUAGCUGGGAACAUAGGGUACAAGAUGGAAUUCACUCCUACCCGCUUUAGGGUUAGUAGAUAGGUUGCUCUCUUAAGCACUGAAUCCAAGUCUUGAACAAGGGGCCCCACCCUCUCAUUGGCCCGAGAGGGAUUAAGUUUAUAGGUUGAACCUUAAACAAUUGUUCAAUAGUGGAUUAGUGGGACUUAAGGAGCAAGAUGUAAUCUUGGGGGUAAAACGGUAUUUUGACCCAGCCAAGGUUACGAGCAACCUGUGAAGGAUUAACUUACUGAUUAUGGUUUUAUCAAAUGGACACAAAUAUAUCUAUAGUGAGGGGAGUGCAACUAUGGGACUUUAGUGGAAUGACCCGUUAGUUAACGAAUGUUGAUUAACUCGGUUUAAAAGAGUUUAGCUAGUUAAUCUUGAAUCGUUAGAGCCCAUGAUCUAUAGGUCCAUUAGGUUCCUCCGCUAGCUCAUAUGGAUUAAACUUAGAACAGUGUGAUGAAAUAAGUCGAAUUGUUCGAAUUGGGAGAAGAAAGGGAAACCGACAUAUACAGUGAUAUAGUCGUCGAUCUUCUAAUUAGAAAUAGAGCUUUAUGUUUUACAUACUAUAAGUAUGAAUGCGGAUUCAUACUAAGAAGCUCGGAAUUGGUCAAAAAUAGUAAAAAGUCAAAAUGUUGACUUUUGACUUUGAAAAGUCAAACUUUGACCGGCCUUAUAUUCAAAUGUGAUUUGAAUUUUGGAAAAAUGAAUGCGGAUUCAUGCUCGGGAGGUUGGAAUUAGUCAAGACGGACAAAAUGGUAAAAAGUCAAAAUAUUGACUUUUGACUAAGAAAAGUCAAAGUUUGACUUUUGACUAGAAAUAUCUAAUGACCAUUUUACCCUUGGACUAAGUUAGUGGAAAAAUCCAACAUUUUGUUGGAUAAUCCCACUAACUCUUAGUGGGAUAUGUGGCUAUAUGAGAUAUAGACACCUAGCCCACUAAGUUCCACUAAUUGUUAGUAGAACAUUAGGUGUUGAGAUUUGGCAAAUGAAUUGCAUGCAUUUUUGCAUGUAAUUAGGCUAUAAAUAGAGGUGUUUUCAAAUGUUGAAGAACUUUUGCCUCUUUUAUCAUUUUCAUCAUCUCAACAAAAGAAAAGAGAAAGCUUCCAAUCUCAUUUUAUCUCCAUUACUUUCUACACCAAAAUUGGGUCCACAACCGGUUAUUUGUCUAGAGCUAGCAGUUGAGUACUAGUGGGUCUCGGUUAGAAUUGGUAAGAAUAUCAAACCUUUUGAAAGCUUCAAAGGUAAUAUUUCUUAAAACCUAAUUUGAUUAGUUUAUGGUUACAUGUUAAUUGUGGCAAUUAGGGUAGAAAUUCGAUUCUUUUUCCGCUGUGCAUGACUUAGUUCUAUCAGGUGAAUGCUUAUGAACGCGAAGGGAAGUCUUUUUCGGCGAUGAACGCAGAUGAAUGCACAGAUGAACGUGAAGGGAAGGUUAGGUGAACGACGCUUUUGAUUUCGGGUGGAGAGAGACAAAGUCGCGGCGAAUUAAGUUUAAUUAAGAAAAGGGGAAGUGAUCAAAUUGAAACGUUGUGUUUUGUAAAAGAAUAUUAACACAAUAAUUUUUAGAAAUUUCUUGACGUUUUUAAAACGUCAAAAACAAAUUAAAAUUUCUCUCAAUGGAUUUUUUAGAAUUAUCUUGACGUUUUAAAACGUCAAGAAUUUUAUAAAUUUCUUGACGUUUUUAAAAUGUCAAGAACUUUUUAGAAUUAUCUCGACAUUUAAAAAUGUUUAAAAUUUGUUAAAACGUCGAGGAAAACUAUAUAUUAUGACGUUUAUUUGAAUUCAUGAACAUUCUUGACGUUUUUUAAACGUCAAAAAAUUAUUAGAUAUUUCUUGAUGUUUAAAAAACGUCAAGAAAAAAUACAUCUUACUUGACGUUUAAUUGCACAAAAAACGUCAAGAAAAAACGUCAAGAAGUUGAAAAUUGGCCUUUCAUAAAAAUUCUUGCGUUUUUUUUUAUGAAAUCACAUCUUUCUUGACGUUUUUUUCUCAAAACAUCAAGAAAGGAAAACUACAACCGUCAAGAGAGCCUAUUUUUGUAGUAGUGAUGGGACAAGACUGAGUGGGGAGUUGGGAUUAUAAUUGCACAAAAUGGAAUUCACUCAUUUCCUACUUUAGGGUAAGUGAUGAAUGUUAGCUUAAAUGGUGUCUCAAAACUUGAACAAAGGGCACGUACCCUCUCUAUGACAUGAGAGGGGUUUUUGUUUAUUAGUAGGACCAUAAACAAGCACUACUAGAAAAUAGGCUUUCUUGACCGGUUGCUGUCUUCGUUCUUGAUUUUUUUUUCGAAAAACGUCAAGAAAGAUUUCAUUUUUAAUAAAAAACGUCAAGAAUUUUUUCUGAAACAUCAUUCUUGACGUUUAUUAAACGUCAAGAAAAAAUAAAUUUUUUCUUGACGUUUUUAAACAUCAAGAAAUAUCUAUUAAUUUUUUGACGUUCUUAAAACGUCAAGAAGCGUAUGAAUUCGACAUGUUUGACGUUUUUAAACGUCAAGAAUUUAAAAUUUUACUUGACGUUUUAAAAACGUCAAAAAAUUUAUAAAAAAAUCCUUGACAUUUUUUAAAAAACGUCAAAAAAUUUAUAAAAUAUUUGACGGUUUUAAAACGUCAAGAAAUUUAUAAAAUAUUCUUGACGGUUUUAAAACGUCAAGAAAUUUAUAAAAAUUCUUGACGUUUUUUAAUCGUCAAGAACUCUCCUCGCUCGCGCGCUCGUUGUAAUAAUAAUAAUGAUAAUGAUAUGUUAUUGUUAUAUAUAUAUUUUGUUUUUUUUAUUUUAUAUAAUAUAUAUAUAUAUAUUUAUUAUUUAUAUUUAAUUUAAAUAAAAAGAAAAGAAAAAGGAAAAAGAAAUCUCUCUCACUCUCUCCCUCGCGCGCCGCGACCCCCCCCCCUUUCCCUUCUCCUUUCCCUUCUCCUUUCCUUUCUUUCUCUUUUCCUUCCGCCCUUCCCUUCCGUCUUUCUUUCCGCCGCAGCCCAGCCGCCCCAUCCCUUCCCCUUCUCUCCGUUCGCGAAGCAAAAACCGCCACGACCGACCUCCAUUCCUCUUUCUUCCGUUCGCAGCCGCCGCAAACCGUCGCUCCUUCCCUUCCAUUUUCUUCUUCCGUCCGCAGCCUGCCGCAAACCGCCGCGUCUCCCUACUGAAGCCGAGCGCCGCGACCCUUCUCCUCUUCUCUUCAGUUCGCAAAGCAGCCGUACGCGUCCAGAUCUGCCGCCUUCAGAUCUGCACCGCAAGACCGCGCCGUUGCCCUUCGCCGCUGCCGGUCCAGAUUUGCGUCGCCGUGCACAGCCUCACCGCGCUGCAACCGUUUCCGGCGUCUUGUUUCUGUCUCCGUCGAAGCCGAGCCACCGUGUGAAGCAGUAACCGGCCACGUCCGCCGCUCACAACCGCCGUCCAAGCCAGCCGCCGCGAUCCCUUCUCCUCCGUUGUCUGCACUGCCGCGCGACUCUCCGGCGUCUGUAUACGGUCUCUCCGUCGCACGUCGUCUCUUUCGCAAAGCUACUGCUCGAUUUCUUUCGCGAAGAUUUGGGUAAGUUGUAAAAAGAUUCACAUAAAAUGUUGUUGAUUAAUAUAAAAUCGAUAUAUCACAUGGUGCUUUGGGUUCUCCUUACAAAUCCAAUGGAGUUGAUGAUUGAUAUGAGAAGAUACAGAUUGAUAAAGGGAGAUAUGGCUUAUACGGGACCGUAUUUACCUACUGUCACACAGUAGGUGAGUAAUGUAACUAUUUUCCCUAAGACUCAUUUCUCUAGAAUAAACGACAUCAUUUCUUUAGUUAGAUCUCGUAUUAUGUUUUGAUAUCUUGACUUUAUUAGGUAGUCUAAUUACAAGCUCAGGACAUCGAACCAUUUUCUUCUUUGACCACAGUACUGAAGGUGCGUUGUUCUGUCUUCUACUCUUGUCUAACUUCUCUUUUUGGGGCAGAUCAUUAGCAAAUAUUUGAUGCUUUAAGUUGCGUGCAUAAUAUAGGUUUUUCUGUUGUUUUGGUGUGUUCUAGGAUUUAAUUUUUGAGUAAAUGUUGUAACUAAUGUUCAGUGCUUGCUCUGUUAUAACAUGUCUUUUAUAUGCAUAAUUCUUUUAGCUGGAAUUUCUCUAUCAAAUAUAGUUGCACCACCCAUUGUCUCUGGUCACCAACCAUGUUGCCAAGGACAUUUGGGUUACCAAGCGAUUCUUGGUAAAUAGCUACUUCAUUGAUGUUUUUUUUAUAUCAGUUCAUGGAUUUGGAUGAUUUUGUUAUGUAUGAAUUCUGGCAAAUGAUGACGAAUUUGGAAUCUACAAAUCAAUAUCGUGUUCCUCCUAGGAUUUUGUGUAGAAUUUUUGCUCAAAUAUUGUUGUUAAUUGAUGAUGAAUUGCUUGCUUUGUCUAGGGAUUGAAUUUUAUGGUGUUUCAUGUGCUCUUUGAUAAUGAUCAUGAUGGUUUUGAUUUGUUACUUCCUUGCACAUAUUGGUAUCAGUUGGUUUAAUAAUUAUUAAUUGGGUGUAUGAUGCUCGUUGUGAUUUAUAAUUGAAUUUUUGUAUAUAUUGCUUCAGCUAUUAUUGAUAUGAAUGUGUGAGUAAUAUUGUUUAAUUUUUUAACCAUGUUUGCACUUUCAAUAUUGUUUAAUUUUUUUGUGUUACACUUUCAUAUUAACUAUAGUUGCAAAAAUAGGUAACAAGAAUUUAUUUUUUUAGAACUUAAAACAACAAUGGUUGGAUAUCCAGUUGUGAUUUAUGCAUAUUUUAUUUGUAUUGGCUUUUUGUUGAUUGUGUUGAAAGAAAGUUAUAGUUCAAAGUGUUAGAGGCUUGGCCACCUUAGAUUUGCAAUUUCAUUAUGUCUUACUCUUCCGUGCAUUAUAAUUAUAAGUGUGUAGAAAAACAUGUGGUGUUUGUUUAAUUAUACAAUGUACUUACUUUCCCUCAUGUGUGCAUUAUAAGUAUUUUCUGGCUUACUAAUAACUUCAUUGAAAUUCUAGUUAAUUUAUUUAUGGUCUAUCGCUAAACAAUUACACAAGCUGAAGUGAAUGAAUAAAUGUGCAAACACAAAAUCUACUAUGAUGUUGAGUUGAAUAGUGAUGGAUGGAUUUCUAUUAUGCUAUGUUAUAUUAAUUAUCAUCAAAAAAAUUUCAGGCUGCGAGAAUCGAUGACUUAGAGCUUUUUCGUCGCGACUUGGAGCUUUUCAAACUGCUAUUGGGAAGUUUUUGGAUAGUUUUUAGAUAAGUUAGUUAAUUUAGGAAGUUGAGUUGAACUUAUGACAAUCUAAUGAGAUUGUUUAUAUUUUUUUGCAAAGGAUAUGAAAUAUUCAUAUAUGUAUUGUUUUGGAAAUGAUUAUAUAUAAAUAUGGUGAAGCGUUUUAUUUAUAUAUGUUCAAGUUUUGAAACUAUAUUUGAUGAAUAUCGUCCAUUUAUAUAUAUGAAACUAUUGUUAGACUACUAUACAGAAUUAUGGGAGCACAAACAAAAAUACAAUUAAAUUAUUAUUUAAAAAAAAACUAUGAAACAUGCUUGACGGUUGUAAAAUGUCAUAAACAAUCAAUUUCUUGACGGUUAUUAAAUGUCAUGAACAUCUCACACCCUUGACGGUUUUUAACUGUCAUGAAAAUUUAUACUUGACAUUUAUAGAACGUCAACUUUCACUAUUCUUGACGUUUUUAUCAACCUUCAAGAACUUGCACUUUCUUGACACUGGCUUCAACGACUGUUUUAAAACCGUCAAGAAUAGUGAUUCUUGACAGUUUUAAAACGUCAAGAGAGCUAGUUUUUGUAGUAGUGAAGUUGUUCAUUAGAGGAGCACUGGUUUUUAAGGAUUAGAGGUAACAUAGGGGUAAAGCGGUAAAUUGAUCCAACUGGUGUUACAAACACUCGUGAAGGACUAACUUACUAUUAUUGGUCUAUAUCCGUGGACACAUAAAUAUAUUUUUAGUGAGAAGAGUUCAGUUGUGAGUCUUUAGUGGAGUGUACACACAACUAACGAAUAUUGAUUAAUGUGGUUAAUGAGUUUAGCCAAUUAAUCUUAGAUCGUUGUAGCUUCUAAUCUGUAGGUCCAUUAGGUCCCUUUCCUAGCUCGUAAAGGGUGAUGAGAUUUAUUUAUAUUGGUUGUAAUUUAAAAUGUUUAAAUUUAACUUGGGAAUUAGUAUAAUGUAUAGUGAUACAUUAUAAUAUAAAGUUUAUCAAACUUUACUAUAUAAAUUUAACUUUGGGGAUGAUUCAAAAUUAAUUUAUGAGAGAUAAAAUAUUUGAAUGAGUUCAAAUAUUAAUUUAAUGUGAAUUGGAUUCAUAUUAAAAUUAUUGAGAGAAACUUAUAUUUGAAUAUGAUUCAAAAUUAAUUUAAGUUAAAUAUAAGAUAAAUAAUUUAGUGUUAUUAGUUAAUUGGAGAAUUAAUUAAUAGUUUAGUUUAAUAUUAUUUAAUUAAAUUCGAUUUCAUUAAUUAUUAACUAAUUGAUUAAUGUUUAAUUAAUCAGUAGAUUUGAAAUAUAUAUUAAUUUAAUUAUUUGUAAAUUAAUAGAAUCUCAUGGUUCUCUUCUACUUCAUUUUCUAUUCUAAAGGAAAGAGAGUUAUAAUAUCUAGAAGAAAACAAUUUUCUUAAAAAAAUGAAUUAAUAAAAAAAGAAAAAAUAAGGCUAACGCUAUUGUUUUGCAAAAAGAAAAGAGUUUCUCUCAAAUAUCUCUAAACUUUUUCCCAUCCCAAUUGGUUCCACAAACCAAUCUCAUCACAGAGGUACUCUUUGCAAUUUAAGCUCUCUUUGCAAUGGACAGUCUUCAAAGUUUUUUUUAACGAUGUUUCCAAUGCUUUCCUUUCUCUCUCAUGUUUAAUAAAACCAAUUUCUCUUAAAACCUGUAGGGAGGCUACAUCGUAUCGAAUUUCAUACAACUGACGUGUUCAUCGAGUUACAACAAGUGCCGCACAAUAGUCUGUUCCGUGUUUGAAAAGUUGUGAGUGUGACACGCUGCACAUGAGGUUAGAACGAGACAUGGCAAGGCAAGCCCUACGCGCGCCUGCCAACUUCUGCCACAAUAUUUUGUACGCAAGCUAAUGUCUUUGGGCUGUUUUUGUGGUUUUUGGAAAUUUUAAGCAAAGUUUUGAUAUUUUUAUGAUCAACGGGAAUUAAAUGGAAUUAUUUCCCAUUAUUUUUAUUAUUUUAGAUCUGAAGGAGAUCGAACAAGUUUAUAAGACAAGGGUCCAAGCUACUCUCUAUAAGUGACAAAAAUGAGUUUAAAGUUGAUUUCUAAACAUGAAUUUACUAUCAAAUGUUUCAAGCAUGCUUUGAUGUUUGAAUAUUUGAGGAUACUGACAUAUAAAGUAUUUCCAAAGCAUGAAUUUAGAAACAUUUUGGUAAACAUGUUUUUAUUGAUGAAUUUACUAAUGAAAAUUAUAAGCAAUUAUGAUUGUGCUAAGUUUUCAAAAUGUUUAAGCUUGAAAAUAAUAUUAGCAUGUUUUAGUCUAUACCUAAAAUAUUCUAAGAUAUAUAGCAACCCUUCGGGAGAGAUUUUCUUGUGCAUAGAGGUCAUUUGAUUUGGAUAUUCAGUAAAUACCUAGCUUUCCAUCAUUGGUAUUAGAUAAGAGAUGAAGACUUCUAAAGAUGCUUAGUUUCCCAUCUCAAGGGACGAGAGCCUGUACGAAUGCCUAGUUUUCCAUCUCAUUGUAGUUAUAACGAGAUAGGGCACAAUUGAUGCCUAGAGUUUCAUCUCGUAAGUAUCGUAUCACGGGAUAGGGCUUCUAUGCCUAGUUUAUUGUUUUUCGUCUCGACGAUUCUAGGUAUAGCAACUGAAAGGGAAAGUUUGAGAUAAGUUGUUUGAGUUUGAUUUCAUUUAUGUUAAGAGUUAAUUGUUAAAUACUUAUUAUUUCAAAACGAUGUUUUAUAAAACAAUCACUCAUUGGGCUAUUUAGCUCACUCUUUGGAUAAAUAUCCCCAUAUGGAUUACGUUGUUUGGAAAAUUAAACUGUGCUUUAGUACUUCAAAGAAAACUUCCCUCCCAUGUCCUCUCACCUCAUGUGCCCCAUUUGUGUUGAUAACAUGAAAAAUAUUUAGCACCUUUUAAUUGACUAUGUCUUUAUAUCGAAAUGUUGGUUCCAUCUUCUCCAAACAUUCAAUAUUUGUUGGGAUUUUUUGCUCAAUCAAGGCUUAUUCUUCUUUGUUCUCGACCUGCUACCUAUGAUUUAUGAUUUUUUUUUGACAUAUUAUUUUAUGAUUUUGUUUGGUUUUAUAUUUGUGGCUUUUUUUUUGUUUUUGUUUUUUUUUUUUUGAAAAGGAGACAACCUCUUUAUUAAUAUUAAAAUAAUAAUAAUAAUUAGACAAAAGCUCAUAGUACAAGAGAGUUAUACAAUGAAUAUGUAACCAUGGAUCAGGGGGGCACCUUGGCAUCUCAACUAGGUUGACACCCCCAUAGCACCCUCAUCAUAUCCAACCAAGCUAAAACCCAUAACAAAGGAGUAAUGUCCAAAGGCAAAACAAACACAAAAAAAGCCUUCUAUUUGUGGCUUUUGGUUUUGAUCUUGUGUUGUCGCUUUUUGGAUGUGAUGAGGGCGCUAAGGGGGUGUCAACCUAGUUGAGAUGUCCAGGUGCGUCUGUUGAUCCUCUAUCCUAUUGCUCUUUGUAUAAUCCUCAUGACAUUGAGCUUUGUCUCUUCAUUUUUCAAUAUUAAUAAUAGUGAAACUCAUAUCCUCUUUUUUUUUAAAAAAAAUAUGGGUUAAUUUGAUAAAAGUGUUGCUAGCAGAGAUUUGGUUUGAGCACAACCAACACAUUUUCCAUGAUAACAAAAGGGAUUUGCGUGGUGAAAAUAGAUCUAUUAGAUCUCUUGGAGCAAUAAAAAAGAAAUAAGAUCUUUAUGUGAAAGUCGAACUUUUCUUUAUGGAGCAUUGUGAAGAAAGGCCUUUACUUUUGGGCAACAUUGGAAUUGGGGCAUGGUUGUGCGCUUAUUAUCAAAAGUUGCCCCUAACGAUCAAACUGGUUCACUGUUGCGAACUGGUGGGUUAGUUUAGGACAUGUCAUUAUUCUUGAACCUUCAGAUAAAUCUCCUUAUCUUAGGGAAUUAAAAGUUGUUCAACACAGGCUUGAAACAGACAUGUAUAGGGCUUCUGUAUUUUCCCAUAAGGAGCCAAUGAUUGAUUAUAUAUUGGUCUGUUUUGCAAAGGGAAAGAAUGUAACGACCCAACUUUUCUAGGUAAGUCGAGGUCAUUAAUUUUUAACAAAAGACUUUGGUUGAUACAAAAUGAAACGUAAGUCAAUUGAAAAACAAAUUUAUGUCAGGCCUGAUUUUUCAAAUAUUCAAGAAAACUUAAAAAUAAUACUAUUUACAAAUAAAAGUUUGUAAACUAAGUUUUAAUACAUCUUAAACCUCAAAAGAAACCAUAAGCGGAAGCAAAAUGACACGUUUCCUAUGGCAAUCACGCUUCCUUCCUGCCCCUCGCCGGUUUGCCACCUUUAUUACCUUUACCUGAAAAUUAAACAUAAGAAGGGUGAGUAUAACAAUACUCAGUAAGAGACCCUCUACUGGUCCCGUCAGGGGAAAAUAGAUUGUUAACGUUCUAUUGGGACACCCUGUACAGUCGCAGUCUUGUGAUCCCGUAGGAUGCACAUCUCAGUCUAACGCCCCGAGGGACGUACAUAUCAGUCUAGUGUUCUGCAGAAACACAUAUUAGUCUAAUGCUCCGAAGGUGCAAAAUAAAUUGGUGAUCCCGUGGGACACCUACAAGGCACACAUCCCAAUAAAAGCUAACAAUUUUCCCC
rnacentral:lncRNA from 1 species